rnacentral:rRNA from 1 species
CCCUGGCAGUCAGAGGCGAUGAAGGACGUGCUAAUCUGCGAUAAGCGUCGGUAAGGUGAUAUGAACCGUUAUAACCGGCGAUUUCCGAAUGGGGAAACCCAGUGUGUUUCGACACACUAUCAUUAACUGAAUCCAUAGGUUAAUGAGGCGAACCGGGGGAACUGAAACAUCUAAGUACCCCGAGGAAAAGAAAUCAACCGAGAUUCCCCCAGUAGCGGCGAGCGAACGGGGAGCAGCCCAGAGCCUGAAUCAGUGUGUGUGUUAGUGGAAGCGUCUGGAAAGGCGCGCGAUACAGGGUGACAGCCCCGUACACAAAAAUGCACAUGCUGUGAGCUCGAUGAGUAGGGCGGGACACGUGGUAUCCUGUCUGAAUAUGGGGGGACCAUCCUCCAAGGCUAAAUACUCCUGACUGACCGAUAGUGAACCAGUACCGUGAGGGAAAGGCGAAAAGAACCCCGGCGAGGGGAGUGAAAAAGAACCUGAAACCGUGUACGUACAAGCAGUGGGAGCACGCUUAGGCGUGUGACUGCGUACCUUUUGUAUAAUGGGUCAGCGACUUAUAUUCUGUAGCAAGGUUAACCGAAUAGGGGAGCCGAAGGGAAACCGAGUCUUAACUGGGCGUUAAGUUGCAGGGUAUAGACCCGAAACCCGGUGAUCUAGCCAUGGGCAGGUUGAAGGUUGGGUAACACUAACUGGAGGACCGAACCGACUAAUGUUGAAAAAUUAGCGGAUGACUUGUGGCUGGGGGUGAAAGGCCAAUCAAACCGGGAGAUAGCUGGUUCUCCCCGAAAGCUAUUUAGGUAGCGCCUCGUGAAUUCAUCUCCGGGGGUAGAGCACUGUUUCGGCAAGGGGGUCAUCCCGACUUACCAACCCGAUGCAAACUGCGAAUACCGGAGAAUGUUAUCACGGGAGACACACGGCGGGUGCUAACGUCCGUCGUGAAGAGGGAAACAACCCAGACCGCCAGCUAAGGUCCCAAAGUCAUGGUUAAGUGGGAAACGAUGUGGGAAGGCCCAGACAGCCAGGAUGUUGGCUUAGAAGCAGCCAUCAUUUAAAGAAAGCGUAAUAGCUCACUGGUCGAGUCGGCCUGCGCGGAAGAUGUAACGGGGCUAAACCAUGCACCGAAGCUGCGGCAGCGACGCUUAUGCGUUGUUGGGUA